rnacentral:rRNA from 1 species
UCUCUUUGAGCUUUCGCUACUAGAUGAGCCUGCGUAAGAUUAGCUUGUUGGUGAGGUAAAGGCUCACCAAGGCUACGAUCUUUAGCGGGUCUGAGAGGACGAUCCGCCACAUUGGGACUGAGACACGGCCCAGACUCCUACGGGAGGCAGCAGUGGGGAAUAUUGGACAAUGGGCGAAAGCCUGAUCCAGCCAUACCGCGUGUGUGAAGAAGGCCCUAGGGUUGUAAAGCACUUUAAGUUGGGAAGAAAAGUUAUUGGUUAAUACCCAAUGACCGUGACAUUACCAUCAGAAUAAGGACCGGCUAAUUCCGUGCCAGCAGCCGCGGUAAUACGGAAGGUCCAAGCGUUAAUCGGAAUUACUGGGCGUAAAGCGCGCGUAGGUGGUUUAUUAAGUUGGGUGUGAAAUCCCCGGGCUCAACCUGGGAACUGCAUCCAAAACUGAUUCACUAGAGUACGAUAGAGGGAGGUAGAAUUCACAGUGUAGCGGUGGAAUGCGUAGAUAUUGUGAAGAAUACCAAUGGCGAAGGCAGCCUCCUGGAUCUGUACUGACACUGAGGUGCGAAAGCGUGGGUAGCGAACAGGAUUAGAUACCCUGGUAGUCCACGCCGUAAACGAUGUCAACUAUCUGUUGGAAAGCAUUGCUUUUCAGUGGAGCAGCUAACGUAAUAAGUUGACCGCCUGGGGAGUACGGCCGCAAGGCUAAAACUCAAAUGAAUUGACGGGGACCCGCACAAGCGGUGGAGCAUGUGGUUUAAUUCGAUGCAACGCGAAAAACCUUACCUAUGCUUGACAUACUUGGAAUACUUUGUAAUGAAGUAGUGCCUUCGGGAGCCAGGAUACAGGUGCUGCAUGGCUGUCGUCAGCUCGUGUCGUGAGAUGUUCCGUUAAGUCGGAUAACGAGCGCAACCCUUACUCUUAUUUGCCAGCGAUUCGGUCGGGAACUAUAAGGGGACUGCCGGUGAUAAA